rnacentral:tRNA from 1 species
GGUUUGUGGCUCAGUGGUAGAGCACUUGCCUCAAAUGUGUGAGGUACUGGGUUCAAUUCUCAGCACCG